rnacentral:sRNA from 1 species
CGGUUUCGAUUUGCUGCGGGCAAAUGAAAUGGAUAUGGGCAUCCACUCCUCCAGCUGUCACGAUUUUCCCUUCGGCCGCGAUCACUUCUGUGGAAGGACCGAUGACGAUGUUGACGCCGUCCAUUAACAGCGGAUUCCCAGCCUUGCCGAUGGCGGCGAUGUUUCCAUCUUUAAUCCCGAUAUCGGCUUUGUAAAUGCCGGUGUAAUCAACAAUGACGGCAUUCGUCAACACUAAAUCGACCGCUUCAGAGCGGGUGGCAAGCGGAUGCUGCCCCAUCCCGUCGCGAAUCA